rnacentral:tRNA from 2 species
AAUGAAAUGCCUGAUUAAAGGAUUAUUUUGAUAGAAUAAAUCAUGUAGAUUUCUACUUUCAUUA